GGGCUCGCGGCCUAUCAGCUUGUUGGUGAGGUAAUGGCUCACCAAGGCGUCGACGGGUAGCCGGCCUGAGAGGGUGACCGGCCACACUGGGACUGAGACACGGCCCAGACUCCUACGGGAGGCAGCAGUGGGGAAUAUUGCACAAUGGGCGAAAGCCUGAUGCAGCAACGCCGCGUGAGGGAUGACGGCCUUCGGGUUGUAAACCUCUUUUAGCAAGGAAGAAGCGAAAGUGACGGUACUUGCAGAAAAAGCGCCGGCUAACUACGUGCCAGCAGCCGCGGUAAUACGUAGGGCGCAAGCGUUAUCCGGAAUUAUUGGGCGUAAAGAGCUCGUAGGCGGUUUGUCGCGUCUGCUGUGAAAACUGGAGGCUCAACCUCCAGCCUGCAGUGGGUACGGGCAGACUAGAGUGCGGUAGGGGAGAUUGGAAUUCCUGGUGUAGCGGUGGAAUGCGCAGAUAUCAGGAGGAACACCGAUGGCGAAGGCAGAUCUCUGGGCCGUAACUGACGCUGAGGAGCGAAAGGGUGGGGAGCAAACAGGCUUAGAUACCCUGGUAGUCCACCCCGUAAACGUUGGGAACUAGUUGUGGGGACCAUUC
rnacentral:rRNA from 1 species